rnacentral:tRNA from 1 species
GUCUCGUGGUUCGGUGGUAGAAUGCUCGCCUGCCACACGGGCGGCCCAGGUUCGAUUCCUGGCAGAGGCA